GAAUUACUGUACAGUCAGUGUGGCCGCCGGCCCUCCCGUCACGGCACAUUGACUUGAAUGCAAAUAUUUGUUGUCGUCGUUAGUCUAGUAUUUCAAUGAUUAAUGGUAAUGCCCUUCAGAUAUAAAGAACAGGUUACUAGCCCAACGCUCUAACCACUAGGCUACCCUGCCGCCCCAAUACCCUUCAGAUAUAAAGAACAGGUUACUAGCCCAACGCUCUAACCACUAGGCUACCCUGCCGCCCCAAUACCCUUCAGAUAUAAAGAACAGGUUACUAGCCCAACGCUCUAACCACUAGGCUACCCUGCCGCCCCAAUACCCCUCAGAUAUAAAGAACAGGUUACUAGCCCAACGCUCUAACCACUAGGCUACCCUGCCGCCCCAAUACCUUUCAGAUAUAAAGACAGGUUACUAGCCCAACGCUCUAACCACUAGGCUACCCUGCCGCCCCAAUACCCCUCAGAUAUAAAGAACAGGUUACUAGCCCAACGCUCUAACCACUAGGCUACCCUGCCGCCCCAAUACCCCUCAGAUAUAAAGAACAGGUUACUAGCCCAACGCUCUAACCACUAGGCUACCCUGCCGCCCCAAUACCCUUCAGAUAUAAAGAACAGGUUACUAGCCCAACGCUCUAACCACUAGGCUACCCUGCCGCCCCAAUACCCUUCAGAUAUAAAGAACAGGUUACUAGCCCAACGCUCUAACCACUAGGCUACCCUGCCGCCCCAAUACCCUUCAGAUAUAAAGAACAGGUUACUAGCCCAACGCUCUAACCACUAGGCUACCCUGCCGCCCCAAUACCCUUCAGAUAUAAAGAACAGGUUACUAGCCCAACGCUCUAACCACUAGGCUACCCUG